GAUGAAGAACGUAGUGAAAUGCGAUAAGUAGUGUGAAUUGCAGAAUUCAGUGAAUCAUCGAAUCUUUGAACGCACAUUGCGCCCCUCGGUAUUCCGUGGGGCAUGCCUGUUCGAGCGUCACUUACCCCUCAAGCACUGCUUGGUGUUGGGCGUCUGUCCCGCUUCGCGCGCGGACUCGCCCCAAAGGUAUUGGCAGCGGUCGUGCCAGCUUCUCGCGCAGCACAUUGCGCUUCUCGAGGCGGUCGAUCGGCGUCCACGAAGCUCACCUCCACCGUUUGACCUCGGAUCAGGUAGGGAUACCCGCUGAACUUAAGCAUAUCAAUAAGCGGAGGA
rnacentral:misc_RNA from 1 species